rnacentral:rRNA from 1 species
UGCAGUCGACGAUGAGGGGAGCUUGCUUCCUGGAUUAGUGGCGAACGGGUGAGUAACACGUGAGUAACCUGCCCUUGACUCUGGGAUAAGCGUUGGAAACGACGUCUAAUACCGGAUAUGACCUGUGACGGCAUCGUCUGCAGGUGGAAAGAAUUUUGGUCAAGGAUGGACUCGCGGCCUAUCAGGUAGUUGGUGAGGUAACGGCUCACCAAGCCGACGACGGGUAGCCGGCCUGAGAGGGUGACCGGCCACACUGGGACUGAGACACGGCCCAGACUCCUACGGGAGGCAGCAGUGGGGAAUAUUGCACAAUGGGCGAAAGCCUGAUGCAGCAACGCCGCGUGAGGGACGACGGCCUUCGGGUUGUAAACCUCUUUUAGUUGGGAAGAAGGGAGCUUGCUCUUGACGGUACCAGCAGAAAAAGCACCGGCUAACUACGUGCCAGCAGCCGCGGUAAUACGUAGGGUGCAAGCGUUGUCCGGAAUUAUUGGGCGUAAAGAGCUCGUAGGCGGUUUGUCGCGUCUGCUGUGAAAUCUGGGGGCUCAACCCCCAGCCUGCAGUGGUACGGGCAGACUAGAGUGCGGUAGGGAGAUUGUAUCUGGUGUAGCGGUGGUAUGCGCAGAUAUCAGACGU